UACAGGGGGGGCAAGCGUUGUUCGGAAUUACUGGGCGUAAAGGGCCUGUAGGCGGCCAACUAAGUCACACGUGAAAUCCCCAGGCUUAACCUGGGAACUGCGUGUGAUACUGGAUGGCUUGAAUUCGGGAGAGGGAUGCAGAAUUCCAGGUGUAGCGGUGAAAUGCGUAGAUAUCAUGAGGAAUACCAGAGGCGAAGGCGGCUACCUGGACAAUUGCUGACGCUCAGGCACGAAAGCGUGGGGAGCAAAAGGG
rnacentral:rRNA from 1 species